UCAAAACCUUCACUUACCAGUCCACCUCGCCGCCGUUUUUAUCCUUGCAGGUGACUUUGGCCUCAGAGGAGCAGAUGCCCCAGCAGAGGAGACUAACUGUGAGGACCACCCUCGACAUGACUUCCUGAAACACACCGGGAACAAUAACAGCAACACAUCAGCUGCCAGACAGACUGAUGACUGCAUUGACUAAUGAUCACUCUGUCGUUGCUGCCAUGUCUGUAAAGCAGUGGUUCACAAACUCAGUCCUGCAGCCCCCUGUGUAUGCCGGUUUUCAUUCCAACCACAACUGCAACCCCAGAAUUUUAACAAGCUGUUAAUACUUUUUAAUUAGGUGUUUUUCAUGUUUAGAGGGAUUAUUUACCCUCUUAAGCCACAAUAUGUCAGAAAUAGGCAUGCAUGAUAAAGAUGAUUUUAUGCUUCCAUGAAGAAUAAAUUGACCAGUUUCAAAAGUU